GAUGAACGCUGGCGGCGUGCCUAAUACAUGCAAGUCGAGCGAACAGACGAGGAGCUUGCUCCUCUGACGUUAGCGGCGGACGGGUGAGUAACACGUGGAUAACCUACCUAUAAGACUGGGAUAACUUCGGGAAACCGGAGCUAAUACCGGAUAAUAUAUUGAACCGCAUGGUUCAAUAGUGAAAGACGGUUUUGCUGUCUCUUAUAGAUGGAUCCGCGCCGCAUUAGCUAGUUGGUAAGGUAACGGCUUACCAAGGCAACGAUGCGUAGCCGACCUUAGAGGGGGAUCGGCCAAACUGGAACGGAGAAACGGACCAGACACCAACGGGAGGCAGAAGUAGGGAAUCUUCCGAAAGGGGGGAAAGCCUGACGGAGAAACGCGGCGUGAGUGAUGAAGGUAUUCGGAUGGUAAAACUCUGUUAUUAGGGAAGAAAAAAUGUGUAAGUAACUAUGAAAGUCUUGACGGAACCAAAUCAGAAAGCAACGGCUAACUACGU
rnacentral:rRNA from 1 species